UACGAAGGGGGCUAGCGUUGCUCGGAAUCACUGGGCGUAAAGGGUGCGUAGGCGGGUCUUUAAGUCAGGGGUGAAAUCCUGGAGCUCAACUCCAGAACUGCCUUUGAUACUGAGGAUCUUGAGUACGGGAGAGGUGAGUGGAACUGCGAGUGUAGAGGUGAAAUUCGUAGAUAUUCGCAAGAACACCAGUGGCGAAGGCGGCCCCCUGGUUGGAUACUGACGCUGAGACGCGAAAGCGUGGGGAGCAAACAGG
rnacentral:rRNA from 1 species